UGUGAUUUUGUUGGAGUAGGUGUGGCCUUGUUGGAGAAAGUGUGUUACUGUGGGGUGGGCUUUAAAGUUUCAAAAGCCAAUCCCAUCUUCUCCUGAUGCCUUUGGAUCUGGAUGUACAAUCUUCAACUUCUCCUCUAGCAUCAUGUCUACCUGCAUACCACCAUGCUUCCCACCAUGAUGACAAAGGGACUCAGCAUCUGAAACUGUAGAAAUAAUGAAGAAAAUGAGUGAUAUAUACAUGAUGAAGUGUUUUUAAACCAUGAAGUAAGUCAUUUUCAGGAAAAUUGAUGGAACCAGGUUCAGGAACACAAACACUGAAUGCUUUCUCAAAUAAGCAAGUCUAAAUAAAAGAAAAGGUAACCAGGUGAAUGACUUUUAGUCACGUCCACAUCUACCUGUGCUUGCAGUCUCGUUUUCCUGCAGGACAGAAGAUCAAGCCUGGCUUGGACAAAGACUUCUCCAUUUACCCAAAUUUUCCCAUCUCUGGAACAGACAUUCGUUUAUGCAAGCUCCUGUCUUAGACAUCUGGGAGAAGAAGCUUCAAACCCAUCAUUGACUGCUGAUCUCUGUGAAGAAAAGAGAUUAAUGGAGAGAGAGAUACCUUUGGGCUCUAAGUUGGAGCCUUAAUUUCUUGUCAGGAUAAAUUAUAAUGUUUUAUGAAUAAUCAUGCUCCCAAAGGUUA